UGGAAAUAUCCUGUUGAUUGUACUCUUAAUAGAAAAGAAGAGGAUCGCAUGGCAUGGCAACAGGAGAGGAAGCCCAGGCAAUCAUUUUGGAGCCGAUUUUCAAGACGCCAAGACCGCACUGCGAACAUCAGUGUUGCCUAUACUAAAAACAGCAGCAAUGUAACAUGUGGAGCUGAGUCCAAACUACGCUGUCCAUCCCCGAAGGA